CCUACGGGUGGCAGCAGUGAGGAAUAUUGGUCAAUGGACGAGAGUCUGAACCAGCCAAGUAGCGUGAAGGAUGACUGCCCUCUGGGUUGUAAACUUCUUUUAUAUGGGAAUAAAAUGUUCCACGUGUGGGAUUUUGUAUGUACCAUAUGAAUAAGGAUCGGCUAACUCCGUGCCAGCAGCCGCGGUAAUACGGAGGAUACGAGCGUUAUCCGGAUUGAAUUGGUUUAAAGGGAGCGUAGGUGGAUUGUUAAGUCAGUUGGGAAAGUUUGCGGCUCAAACGUAAAAUUGCAGUUGAAACUGGCAGUCUUGAGUACAGUAGAGGUGGGCGGAAUUCGGGGUGUAGCGGUGAAAUACUUAGAUAUCACGAAGAACUCCGAUUGCGAAGGCAGCUCACUGGACUGCAACUGACACUGAGGCUCGAAAGUGUGGGUAUCAAACAGGAUUAGAUACCCGUGUAGUC
rnacentral:rRNA from 1 species